UACGUAGGGGGCUAGCGUUGUCCGGAAUCAUUGGGCGUAAAGAGCGUGUAGGCGGUCCGGUAAGUCCGCUGUGAAAGUCGGGGGCUCAACCCUCGAAUGCCGGUGGAUACUGUCGGGCUAGAGUGCGGAAGAGGUAACUGGAAUUCCCGGUGUAGCGGUGAAAUGCGCAGAUAUCAGGAAGAACACCCGUGGCGAAGGCGGCAUCCUGGACCAAUAUUGACGCUGAGGAGCGAAAGCCAGGGGAGCAAACGGG
rnacentral:rRNA from 1 species